rnacentral:rRNA from 1 species
GACGAACGCUGGCGGCGUGCUUAACACAUGCAAGUCGAACGAUGAAGAAGAGAAACGCGAACCUCGGUUCAAAUUUCACUUCGGAUUAGUGGCAGACGGGUGAGUAACGCGUGAGCAACCUACCUCUUACAAAGGGAUAGCCUCGGGAAACCGUGACUAAUACCAUAUGACACCUUCAUAAGGCAUCUUAAGAAUGUUAAAGCUACGGCGGUAAGAGAUGGGCUCGCGUCCCAUUAGCUAGUGGGUGAGGUAACGGCCCACCAAGGCGACGAUGGGUAACCGGCCUGAGAGGGUGAACGGUCACAUUGGAACUGAGACACGGUCCAAACUCCUACGGGAGGCAGCAGUGGGGAAUAUUGCACAAUGGAGGGAACUCUGAUGCAGCGACGCCGCGUGAGCGAUGAAGGAAUUCGUUACGUAAAGCUCUGUUCUAUGGGAAGAAAAGGACUGUACCAUAGGAGAAAGCCCCGGCUAAAUACGUG